rnacentral:snoRNA from 1 species
UUGUAGUAAAUGGAGCCCUACAACAAAGAGGGUGGUGGGAAAAAGAAAAAAAAAGAAAGGUGUGCAGUGGCUGCCAACAGCAGCCUGCUGGGUAGUGCAUGCAGCCUGCUGCUUGUAUCGCUGCCCUAAGGGACCCUGGAGACAGCC